rnacentral:rRNA from 1 species
GUAGGUGGCAAGCGUUGUCCGGAAUUAUUGGGGCGUAAAGCGCGCGCAGGCGGUUCUUUAAGUCUGAUGUGAAAGCCCACGGGCUCAACCGUGGAGGGUCAUUGGAAACUGGAGAACUUGAGUACAGAAGAGGAAAGCGGAAUUCCACGUGUAGCGGUGAAAUGCGUAGAGAUGUGGAGGAACACCAGUGGCGAAGGCGGCUUUCUGGUCCGUAACUGACGCUGAGGCGCGAAAGCGUGGGGAGCAAACAGGAUUAGAUACCCUGGUAGUCCACGCCGUAAACGAUGAGUGCUAAGUGUUAGGGGGUAUCCGCCCCUUAGUGCUGCAGCUAACGCAUUAAGCACUCCGCCUGGGGAGUACGGCCGCAAAGGCUG